rnacentral:rRNA from 1 species
AGGUGCUGCAUGGCUGUCGUCAGCUCGUGUCGUGAGAUGUUGGGUUAAGUCCCGCAACGAGCGCAACCCUUGUCUUUAGUUGCCAGCAUUAAGUUGGGCACUCUAAAGAGACUGCCGGUGUCAAGCCGGAGGAAGGUGGGGAUGACGUCAAGUCCUCAUGGCCUUUAUGACCAGGGCUACACACGUACUACAAUGGCAUAAACAAUGGGCAGCAACACCGCGAGGUGAAGCGAAUCCUCAAAUUAUGUCUCAGUCCGGAUUGGAGUCUGCAACUCGACUCCAUGAAGUUGGAAUCGCUAGUAAUCGUAGAUCAGCAUGCUACGGUGAAUACGUUCCCGGGCCUUGUACACACCGCCCGUCACACCACGGGAGUUGGUUGUACCAGAAGCAGUUGAGCGAACCUUCGGGACGCAGGCUGCCAAGGUAUGAUUGGUAACUGGGGUGAAGUCGUAACAAGGUA